UACGUAGGAGGCAAGCGUUGUCCGGAAUCAUUGGGCGUAAAGGGCGCGUAGGUGGCUCGGUCAGCGUGCGGUGAAAGCUCGGGGCUCAACCCCGAGUCGGCCGUGCGAACUGCUGGGCUGGAGCACUGUAGAGGCAGGCGGAAUUCCGGGUGUAGCGGUGGAAUGCGUAGAGAUCCGGAAGAACACCGGUGGCGAAGGCGGCCUGCUGGGCAGUGGCUGACACUGAGGCGCGACAGCGUGGGGAGCAAACAGG
rnacentral:rRNA from 1 species